rnacentral:piRNA from 1 species
UCCCAACACACAUUUCAGUAUUACAUGCUC